rnacentral:rRNA from 1 species
CCCUUAGAUGUUCUGGGCCGCACGCGCGCUACACUGAUUCAUGCAACGAGUUUUGUCCUUGGCUGAAAGGCCUGGGUAAUCUUUGAACGUGAAUCGUGCUGGGGAUAGAUGAUUGCAAUUAUUCAUCUUCAACGAGGAAUUCCUAGUAAACGCAAGUCAUCAGCUUACAUUGAUUACGUCCCUGCCCUUUGUACACACCGCCCGUCGCACCUACCGAUUGAAUGGUCCGGUGAAAUCUUCGGAUCUGAGAGAUGUUGGAUUAAUUUCUGACGCCUUUUGGAAAAGUCGCUUAAACCUUAUCAUUUAGAGGAAGGUGAANUCGUANCA